GUCGAGCGAACGGACGAGAAGCUUGCUUCUCUGAUGUUAGCGGCGGACGGGUGAGUAACACGUGGAUAACCUACCUAUAAGACUGGGAUAACUUCGGGAAACCGGAGCUAAUACCGGAUAAUAUUUUGAACCGCAUGGUUCAAAAGUGAAAGACGGUCUUGCUGUCACUUAUAGAUGGAUCCGCGCUGCAUUAGCUAGUUGGUAAGGUAACGGCUUACCAAGGCAACGAUGCAUAGCCGACCUGAGAGGGUGAUCGGCCACACUGGAACUGAGACACGGUCCAGACUCCUACGGGAGGCAGCAGUAGGGAAUCUUCCGCAAUGGGCGAAAGCCUGACGGAGCAACGCCGCGUGAGUGAUGAAGGUCUUUGGAUCGUAAAACUCUGUUAUUAGGGAAGAACAUAUGUGUAAGUAACUGUGCACAUCUUGACGGUACCUAAUCAGAAAGCCACGGCUAACUACGUGCCAGCAGCCGCGGUAAUACGUAGGUGGCAAGCGUUAUCCGGAAUUAUUGGGCGUAAAGCGCGCGUAGGCGGUUUUUUAAGUCUGAUGUGAAAGCCCACGGCUCAACCGUGGAGGGUCAUUGGAAACUGGAAAACUUGAGUGCAGAAGAGGAAAGUGGAAUUCCAUGUGUAGCGGUGAAAUGCGCAGAGAUAUGGAGGAACACCAGUGGCGAAGGCGACUUUCUGGUCUGUAACUGACGCUGAUGUGCGAAAGCGUGGGGAUCAAACAGGAUUAGAUACCCCGGGUAGUCCACGCCGUA
rnacentral:rRNA from 1 species